GACGAGUUUCUUCGUGGGGGAACUCGACCCCCGCAACCGAUGAUGAUGGGCUUCAUCGACACGAUGAGAGCCGAGGGACACGCGGUCGAGUCGAUCUGCCGAGUCCUGCGUGAGCAGGGCUGCCAGAUCGCCGCG
rfam:Microbacterium sp. C448 genomic scaffold, scaff223